AACGGCGAGUGAAGCGGCAAGAGCUCAGAUUUGGAAUCGCGCAAGCGAGUUGUAAAGUGAAGACGAGCUUUAGGGGAGUCGAACGGUCAAGUGCCUUGGAAAAGGCCGCCACAGAGGGUGACAGCCCCGUUGGCCGGGACCGCUUUCCGUACAAAGUUCUGUCCGAGAGUCGAGUUGUUUGGGAAUGCAGCUCUAAGGGGUGGUAAAUUCCAUCUAAAGCUAAAUACCGGCGAGAGACCGAUAGCGAACAAGUACAGUGAUGGAAAGAUGAAAAGCACUUUGAAAAGAGAGUGAAACAGCACGUGAAAUUGUUGAAAGGGAAGGGCUUGGCCUCAGACGCGGCGCCGCCUCGGUGGUGCCGGGCCAGCAUGGGCUCGCACGGUGCGACAAUGGCAGAGGAAGGUGGCCUUCGGGUGUUAUAGCCUCUGCUGAUGGUGCCAGUGCGGGCCGAGGACUGCGCGUAUGCAAGGAUGCUGGCGUAAUGAUGUCAAGCCGCCCGUCUUGAAACACGGACCAAGGAGUCUAACGUCUAUGCGAGUGUUUGGGUGGCAAACCCGGACGCGCAAUGAAAGUGAACGAGGUGGGGGCCCGCAAGGGUGCACCAUCGACCGAUCCCGAAGUUUACGGAAGGAUUUGAGUAGAAGCAUAGCUGUUGGGACCCGAAAGAUGGUGAACUAUGCCUGAAUAGGGUGAAGCCAGAGGAAACUCUGGUGGAGGCUCGUAGCGGUUCUGACGUGCAAAUCGAUCGUCGAAUUUGGGUAUAGGGGGCGAAAGACUAAUCGA
rnacentral:rRNA from 1 species